CCUACGGGGUGCAGCAGUGGGGAAUAUUGGGCAAUGGGCGCAAGCCUGACCCAGCAACGCCGCGUGAAGGAAGAAGGCUUUCGGGUUGUAAACUUCUUUUAAGGGGGAAGAGCAGAAGACGGUACCCCUUGAAUAAGCCACGGCUAACUACGUGCCAGCAGCCGCGGUAAUACGUAGGUGGCAAGCGUUGUCCGGAUUUACUGGGUGUAAAGGGCGUGCAGCCGGGGAGACAAGUCAGAUGUGAAAUCCACGGGCUCAACCCGUGAACUGCAUUUGAAACUGUUUCCCUUGAGUGUCGGAGAGGUAAUCGGAAUUCCUUGUGUAGCGGUGAAAUGCGUAGAUAUAAGGAAGAACACCAGUGGCGAAGGCGGAUUACUGGACGAUAACUGACGGUGAGGCGCGAAAGCGUGGGGAGCAAACAGGAUUAGAUACCCCUGUAGUC
rnacentral:rRNA from 1 species